rnacentral:lncRNA from 1 species
CUAAACAUGCUAGUGCACAAUGGAAAGAGGUGAGAGACAGAAGAAAUCAGGGCAAAUAGAAGCAGGAUGAUGAAGAUGCAAAAACUGGAAAACAAUUGGUCCCAGUGGAUAAAAGUAAGAAACAGGUACAUACCUCUAAUAAAUUUGCAGCUUUAGAGGAAGUUGAAGCAGCUGAUGUGCAAGGUAAGGAGUUAGCAGUCAUUGAAGAAGUAAAGGAAAUUAAUCAUGUUGACAUCGACUCUCCAGGAGUACAAGGUAAAUGGAACAAUGUUGAAAAAUCUCACAAAGCAGUUGGAAAAAAAUAGGCAGAGGAAGUGGAACAAUAAAGUGUUGGGAAUACAGCUAGAGGAGAGCAACCUAUGUUGCUACAAAACCAACAGCAGGCAGAUAAUACAACAUGAAGGUUGAAUCCUCCAGUCACAGGUUUCAAUCACAAAGCAGCAGCUGCAGGGUCAAAUAAUGGAGAAAAUAAAGGAAAGGCUAAUAACGUCAAGGAAUCCACAGCCCAAUGGGUUCAGAGAACAUUC